rnacentral:tRNA from 1 species
UAAAGCUUUAAGUUAAACUAAACUAUUAACCUUCAAAGUUAAAAAUAUAUAAUUAUUAUAAGCUUUAG